AUCCUUUUGUAGUUCAUAAGCAUGAUGAUUGGGUGUUCACGCUUUUGUGUGACAUGUGCCGCCCUUUAAACCUUGUUACGACCUUGGCACAUUACCCGUCUGACG